rnacentral:misc_RNA from 1 species
UGGGGUUCACGGUUUACGAGAAAUUUAGUCCAAAAGUUAAAAUGGGCUAAAACUUUCCGGACAAAAAUUGGACAAACAGCUCGAUGGAUUUUAGUGUUCUUGGUGUCUAUGGAAAGCGCUCGAGGUGUAGAUGUUGUUUGACAUGAGGCCUGGCCCAAUCGGUGCCCAGAUCGGUCGGAUUUUGGCCGAAAAGCCAAAACGGCGUGCUCGCGUCUGGUGGUCAUCGCGCGCAUUUUUCGACCGCCUGGAGCGUCGAUCGACCGUGGGGAGGUGGUGGGGUGGUGUGUCGGCGAGGUGGGGUGGCUGGGGAGGCG